AUUACAGACUUAAAAAUGUACUCAUAAAAGUACAAAUACACGAAAAAACUACUUAAAGAGCACCUAUUAUGGGAUACACGUUUUUAAACAUCAUUUUGUGUGUAAGUGUGUAUUAGUACAUGCUAACGAUAUUCAAAAAGUACAUACCUCAAAGAAAACGAUGACGCGAGUUAUCGUCUCUAACGUUCGAGGACUACAAAAAACACUCGGAUUGUAGGCAACAGUUUACUUCCUGGGAUUAGUGACGUAGAUAAGACCAACAUUAUCAUAGUUCAGCCCUCUCUGCUUUGCUUGGGUACGCCCUCAAAGACGAGGGUGGGGAGCGCCGAGUCAGAAGAGAGCUAAAAUGGCGGAGGUUGGGAGUCCCUGCUUUGACUCUGUUUGCAAACUCUUGUUUCAUUGUUUAAGCGAUUAAAUCUCUCGAGUAGACGCUGUCUCUUUAGAUGCGAGGGAAAAAUAGCACUUUAUGGACUUACACAGAGGACAUCAUGUUUAAUACGGUUCCGGAAAAAUCCAGUCAGAAGUUGUUCACGGAGUUUUCACAAUAACUGCUUCUCAUGAACCGAAGCUGGACGUCUCCUUCUGAAAGUUGGAUUACUGUGCACUUCUGGAUCACAGGCUAUUCGCAGCUGGACACAUCCUUCUACACUGUAUGCAAACAUGCAACAUCAUAACACACAGUACAAGGAGUCAGACUGGCAUAUGAGGAGCAAAGGAACCCAGACAGUAGCAUCGUUUCACAAUGUUUCCAUCACCAUCAUCAGUGGAUGCCUUUGCCGUCCGUAGCCUGAGAUUUCAGAUUUGCAGCAAAAAAAAUUGAUUUUCUCAUUUAUUGGAAUGCUAUGCAGGUUGUACCUUGCAGCCAUCCAUUACAAUGUCACCAAGCCGUAACAAAAGCAGGAGAGGGAAAGUACAAGGCUAUGUUCCCAAAACACACAAAUGACAUACCUUAUGUGGAUGAUGUGAUCAGGCUUGUGUUUGCUGAGGUAUUUGAAGAUAAGCUGAAGGAAACCCCGAUUCCAAUGGACCUGGCAUCACAGUUUGAGAGACCUUCAAAGGAGGACGUGAUUGCAUGCCAUCUUCAGUGCAGGGGUCGUCGGAAGCCAACAUUCCGAUCAGGAAGCUCCAAGCGUAUCUGGAGAACAACACACGACAGGAUGAUAACCCUAAAGUGUCAUCUUAGAUAGCAUCAGCUGACAAAGCUUUGAUAUGCCAUUUAUCUGAAUAGAUAGCUGUAAGAAGUGAAUUGAACAAUUUUGAAAGAAGAGCACAAUA